GAUGAACGCUGGCGGCGUGCCUAAUACAUGCAAGUCGAGCGAACGGACGAGAAGCUUGCUUCUCUGAUGUUAGCGGCGGACGGGUGAGUAACACGUGGAUAGCCUACCUAUAAGACUGGGAUAACUUCGGGAAACCGGAGCUAAUACCGGAUAAUAUUUUGAACCGCAUGGUUCAAAAGUGAAAGACGGUCUUGCUGUCACUUAUAGAUGGAUCCGCGCUGCAUUAGCUAGUUGGUAAGGUAACGGCUUACCAAGGCAACGAUGCAUAGCCGACCUGAGAGGGUGAUCGGCCACACUGGAACUGAGACACGGUCCAGACUCCCACGGGAGGCAGCAGUAGGGAAUCUUCCGCAAUGGGCGAAAGCCUGACGGAGCAACGCCGCGUGAGUGAUGAAGGUCUUCGGAUCGUAAAACUCUGUUAUUAGGGAAGAACAUAUGUGUAAGUAACUGUGCACAUCUUGACGGUACCUAAUCAGAAAGCCACGGCUAACUACGUG
rnacentral:rRNA from 1 species